AUCAUGCUAAAAAUUAUACAAAACAAACAAAUUCAUUUUGGACACGAAAUUGACCUUCUACAACUAUCAGAAAUGAACCGGAAAGAGGUAGAGCAGUGUUGGUGCGGGCUGAAUGAGCUACUGUGGGGUGGAUAGGGCGUGUGUUACAAGUGCAGCUGACAUACAAAAACAAUGGCUUUUUAGGUUGAUUGGGUCUGAUUUUUGUGAGGACAGAUCAAGACAAAUUUUUGAGGAAGCAGCUGCUAUAACCAUUCAUAAUGCAGAGCAAAACGAUUGUGUCGUGGCGCAAUUUUGUGUUUAUAUUGUUGCAAAGACUUGGAGAAUGGCAGCUCUGUGGUGUUGCUAUUAUGAAGGCUUGCAGAGAAGAUAACUUCGGUUGGACUGGAUUUGAUGUUGGAGAAAAAGGAGCAUGACAGAUCGGAGUAGAAAAACAUGGUAACUGGUGGCAGAUGGUUUUGUUGAUGAUCAAAAGAUGGAAAUGGGGCGGCUGCUAUCUUGUUUUUUUUUUUUUUUUUUUUGCAAAAAGUGAUGGAUUUUUUACCCUUUUUAUUGGUUAUAUAUAUAUAUAUAUAUAUAUAUAUAUAUAUAUAUUCUUCUCUCUAGGCUAUUGCAUUAUAGUGUUAGCUUCCCCUUUUUUCUAUGAUUUUUCUCGUCAAUUUGUUUUUGUUUCUUUUUCAAUAUUCUUUCAAAAUCUCUUCUCUGGUGAUUUAUUUAUAGUCUUUUCACCAUAUAUCUUUUCACCCAUAUUAAUACUACUAACUCUUUAUCUCGUAUCUUUACUUCCAUAUCCCUUUGUCUCUCUAUCUUCUCAUUCCUUUAUCUCAAAGUUGUUUUACAAUCUUCUCGUCCCUUUAUCUCAAAAAUUUAGGCUUUGCUUUAAGUAUGGAAAAAGAGAUUAUAAAAGAGUUGGUGAUAUCAAAUGAGAAAAAAAUUAGCCAGGUUGAUAGGAAGGGAAUCUGAAGAGGAAGAAAUUUUCAUCCCUC